UUAGCGGCAAAGCUGUCUGGUCGCGAGAAACACUUCUGUAAAAUCAUGAAAAACAAUCUUUGGAGCGGUGGAGCAACAAAGAGAAAGGCAAAAGAAGAAAAGGAUUCAGAGAAACUGAAAUAUGGACAAACACACAAUUUAUUCGACUUUUUUUUUUUUUUUUAAACUCGGCUACUCGGCUCCUCGGCUCGCUAGCAUUAGCAAGGAGCCCGGAGGGUACGAUGCUAACGUCGCAGAGGAGGGGGACAGUAACGCGGCAGCCGCCUAACAUGAGCUCAACUGAGCAUCAGCAUGAAACGAAAAUGAAAAAGAUAGAGAGCCACAGCCCUGCGACAUACACCUGUUCAACUGCCCCACCCUCAUCUCCACCUGAGUAGGGUGAGUUUGUUACCAGUUUAGCAGCCACACAAUUUAGCCUACUACUUUCUACCGAGAAUUAAAAACGAACUGAGAACAAGGAUAAGGCAACAACACGUGAUUUUUUAUCAAUACUGCAAGAGAGUCGGAACCGUCAGAGACCUGGAUUUUAAUGAUGCAGUGGAGGAGUUUUCGAGGAGAAAGGCAAAAAAGAAGACCGUCAGAUGAGGGAUGAGUCUGCAAUUUGUCCCGGAGGAGGUCAAAAGGCCCACACCUGCAGGAGAUCUGCAGAGAGCAUCACUGUCAUCUGGAAAAGCAAGAACAGAGAGAGAAAGAAGAGAUGAAACAGAGAACAGAGGGGUCUCACUCCACCCCCAGACAUUGUUAUUUCAAGCUUUUCUCAUCAUAUUGAGGAAGAAGGGAACAAUACACAGCACACACGCUCCCUUGGAGCGCUCACUGAGAGCAGCACAGUCAGCUCUUUCAGCAAACAGAAGAAAGAGAAAAAUCAAAGAGCAGAGAGCCAAGGAGAAGGAGGGACCGGGUGAAAGAUACUGACAGCAGGGGAGAUAAGCUAUGUUUCACACCGCCUGUGAGAAGUGAGAUGGGACAAGUAUGGCUUUACGGCAAUGGAGACACCAGGACACUUGGCACCACACUGACGUGACCCAACACUCGACCCUGCAGGACGCCAAUGACAGUCUGACAUGAAAGAUGAGGCACAGAAGAGAACAUCAACAGGAAGCGAGAAAACUUAACACCACUUCAGCUUAUUGCUGCACUGGCUUCCUUCAAAACUGUAUCUGCAAAGUUGCUUAUAAUACAAACAAACAGAGGCACAAUACAGAAAGGACUUUGAGUGGUGAGACCUGGGACAGGGAGGCUGAGGGAUUUCUACAUAUGUGCAAAUGCUGAGGAGCCUGAAAAGCUUAACCCCCC